rnacentral:rRNA from 1 species
GACGAACGCUGGCGGCGUGCUUAACACAUGCAAGUCGAACGGAAAGGCCCUUCGGGGUACUCGAGUGGCGAACGGGUGAGUAACACGUGGGUGAUCUGCCCUGCACUUUGGGAUAAGCCUGGGAAACUGGGUCUAAUACCGAAUAGGACCACGCGCUUCAUGGUGUGUGGUGGAAAGCUUUUGCGGUGUGGGAUGGGCCCGCGGCCUAUCAGCUUGUUGGUGGGGUAAUGGCCUACCAAGGCGACGACGGGUAGCCGGCCUGAGAGGGUGACCGGCCACACUGGGACUGAGAUACGGCCCAGACUCCUACGGGAGGCAGCAGUGGGGAAUAUUGCACAAUGGGCGCAAGCCUGAUGCAGCGACGCCGCGUGAGGGAUGACGGCCUUCGGGUUGUAAACCUCCUUCAAUAGGGACGAAGCGCAAGUGACGGUACCUAUAGAAGAAGCACCGGCCAACUACGUG